rnacentral:rRNA from 1 species
GCCAGACUCCUACGGGAGGCAGCAGUGAGGAAUAUUGGGCAAUGGGCGAAAGCCUGACCCAGCAACGCCGCGUGAGGGAUGAAGGCCUUCGGGUUGUAAACCUCUUUUCUGGGAGAAGAGACAAGGACGGUAUCCCAGGAAUAAGUCUCGGCUAACUACGUGCCAGCAGCCGCGGUAAUACGUAGGAGGCAAGCGUUAUCCGGAUUCACUGGGCGUAAAGCGCACGCAGGCGGUCAUGUAAGUCGGACGUGAAAGCUCCUGGCUCAACUGGGAGAGGUCGUUCGAUACUGCAUGACUUGAGGUUGAGAGAGGGAAGCGGAAUUCCCGGUGUAGUGGUGGAAUGCGUAGAUAUCGGGAGGAACACCAGUGGCGAAAGCGGCUUCCUGGCCCAUACCUGACGCUCAGGUGCGAAAGCGUGGGGAGCGAACGGGAUUAGAUACCCCGGUAGUCCACGCUGUAAACGAUGCGAACUAGGUGUUGGUAGUAUUAAUCCUAUCAGUGCCGUAGCUAACGCGAUAAGUUCGCCGCCUGGGGACUACGGCCGCAAGGCUAAAACUCAAAGGAAUUGACGGGGGCCCGCACAAGCAGCGGAGCGUGUGGUUUAAUUCGAUGCAACACGAAGAACCUUACCUGGGCUUGACAUGGUCGUAGUAGUGAACCGAAAGGGGAACGAGCCUUCGGGCAGCGAUCACAGGUGCUGCAUGGCUGUCGUCAGCUCGUGUCGUGAGAUGUUGGGUUAAGUCCCGCAACGAGCGCAACCCUCGCUACUAGUUAAAUCUGUCUAGUGGGACUGCCGGAGUCAAACCGGAGGAAGGUGGGGAUGACGUCAAGUCAGCAUGGCCUUUAUGUCCAGGGCUACACACACGCUACAAUGGCCGGUACAAUGGGUCGCCAAGCCGCGAGGCGGAGCUAAUCCCAUCAAAGCCGGUCUCAGUUCGGAUUGUAGGCUGCAACCCGCCUACAUGAAGUCGGAGUUGCUAGUAACCGCAGGUCAGCUAUACUGCGGUGAAUACGUUCCCGGGCCUUGUACACACCGCCCGUCACGUCAUGGGAGCUGGUAACACCUGAAGCCGGUGAGCUAACCGUAAGGAGGCAGCUGUCGAAGGUGGGGCCGGUGACUGGGACGAAGUCGUAACAAGGUAGCUGUAGCGGAAGCUGCGGCUG